AGCGAACGCUGGCGGCGUGCCUAACACAUGCAAGUCGAACGAGAAUCCCUUCGGGGAGGAAAGUGGCGCACGGGUGCGUAACACGUGGAUAACCUACCCAUUGGUUGGGGACAACACCGGGAAACUGGUGCUAAUACCCGAUGUGUCGUAGUGGUCGCAAGGCUGCUACGAGAAAGGCCCGCAAGGUCGCCAGCGGACGGGUCCGCGUCCCAUCAGCUAGUUGGUGAGGUAAAUGGCUCACCAAAGGCGAAGACGGGUAGGCUGGUCUGAGAGGAUGAUCAGCCACACUGGGAACUGAGACACGGUCCAGA
rnacentral:rRNA from 1 species